ACUCAAAUGAAUAGACGGGGGCCCGCACAAGCGGCGGAGCAUGCGGCUUAAUUCGAUGCAACGCGAAGAACCUUACCUGGGCUUGACAUGCAGGGUGAAACCCGUGAAAGCGGGCGCUCUUCGGAGCCUGCACAGGUGGUGCAUGGCUGUCGUCAGCUCGUGCCGUGAGGUGUUGCCUUAAGUGGCGCAACGAGCGCAACCCCUGUCCUUAGUUGCCAGCGGGUCAUGCCGGGAACUCUAGGGAGACUGCCGGUGCCAAACCGGAGGAAGGUGGGGAUGACGUCAAGUCAUCAUGCCCCUUAUGUCCAGGGCUGCACGCAUGCUACAAUGCGCGGUACAGAGGGCUGCGAUCCCGUAAGGGGGAGCGAAUCCCAGAAAGCCGCGCUCAGUUCGGAUCGAGGUCUGCAACCCGACCUCGUGAAGUCGGAGUCGCUAGUAAUCGCGGAUCAGCAAUGCCGCGGUGAAUACGUUCCCGGGCCUUGCACACACCGCCCGU
rnacentral:rRNA from 1 species